rnacentral:rRNA from 1 species
GACGAACGCUGGCGGCGUGCUUAACACAUGCAAGUCGAACGAUGAAGAAGAGAAACGCGAACUUCGGUUCAAAUUUCACUUCGGAUUAGUGGCAGACGGGUGAGUAACGCGUGAGCAACCUACCUCUUACAAAGGGAUAGCCUCGGGAAACCGUGAUUAAUACCAUAUGACACAUUCAUAAGGCAUCUUAAGAAUGUUAAAGCUACGGCGGUAAGAGAUGGGCUCGCGUCCCAUUAGCUAGUUGGUGAGGUAACGGCCCACCAAGGCGACGAUGGGUAACCGGCCUGAGAGGGUGAACGGUAACAUUGGAACUGAGACACGGUCCAAACUCCUACGGGAGGCAGCAGUGGGGAAUAUUGCACAAUGGAGGGAACUCUGAUGCAGCGACGCCGCGUGAGCGAUGAGGGAAUUCGUUUCGUAAAGCUCUGUUCUAUGGGAAGAAAAGGACUGUACCAUAGGAGAAAGCCCCGGCUAAAUACGUG